rnacentral:rRNA from 1 species
CAAUGGCACUGAGACACGGGCCAUACACCUACGGGUGGCGCAGUCGGGAAUUUUGGACAAUGGGCGAAAGCCUGAUCCAGCGACGCCGCGUGGAGGAUUGAAGGCCUUCGGGUCGUAAACUCCUUUUGCAGCAGAAGAUUAUGACGGUAUGCUGCGAAUAAGCACUUGCUAACUACGUGCCAGAAGCCUCGGUAAUGCGUAGAGUGCAAGCGUUAUCCGGAUUUACUGGGCGUAAAGAGUUGCGUAGGCGGCUCGACGCAUUCUGUUUGAAAUGCCUCGACUCAAUCGAGGAUUUGGACAGAAGAUGGUCGAGCUAGAGGGAAAGAGAGGGUGCUGGAACCAAUUGUGGAGCAGUGAAAUGCGUUGAUAUGAUUGGGAACACCAAAGGCGUAGGCAGGCACCUAACUUUCUCCUGACGCUGAGGCACGAAAGCUAGGGGAGCGAAGCAGAUUAGAGACCUGCGUAGUCCUAGCCGUAAACAAUCCCUGCUAGAUAGUCUGAUGUAUUUUGGACUGUCGUAGCUAACGCGUUAAGCAGGGCGCCUGGGGAGUACGAGCGCAAGCUUAAAACUCAAAGGAAUUGACGGGGACCCGCACAAGCAGUGGAGCGUGUGGUUUAAUUCGAUACAAAGCGAAAAACCUCACCAGGGCUUGACAUGCACCUGCAAGUCCGGUGAAAGCCGGAUGAUCUUUCGAGGGUGGUGCACAGAUGCUGCAUGGCUGUCGUCAGCUCGUGGCGUGAGCUGUACCCUUAAGUGGGACAACGAGCGCAACCCUCACUGUAUGUUGAAUAAUUCAUACGGAACAGCCCCGAUAUUGUCGGGGAGGAAGGCGAGGAUGACGUCAAGUCAGCACGGUUCUUACGCCCUGGGCUACACACACCCUACAA